ensembl:lncRNA
CGGAGGUCGGCGUUCAAGGUCCACACGGGUGCUGCCCCGCGUGUGUGUGUGUCACUGGCUGUUGGAUGGAGAUGUUUUGGAGCAAGACAGGAGCAGAGGCGGGGCAUCCCAUUAUUGGACCAGGUCAGAGAGAACUGCUGGUUGGCCUAAGGUGACGCAGCAGAAAUGAAGAGAAGUAAAGGGGUUCAUCUAUGUUUGGAGGUAAAGUCAACAGCUCCUGCUGCAGGAUGGACUGUGGACAGUGGAUGGUCCAGGAAUGCGCUGAGAUUUGAGGUUUCUUCCCACUGUUAAGCCCACGGUAUCUUAGACUAUCAAAGGUAUCAAGGGCAAAAGAUGCUGCUUUCCCGCCACCUGGAAAUCUUG